GAUGGGUCCAGUCCUGGCUGUCAUUCUCAUCAUCGUCAUAGUCAUUGCUAUUCUACUCUUCAAGAGCAAACAAGAAAGGAAGCGAACAUCUCCAGCCAAGGAUGAGCACAUGGCAGUUUUCAAGGACUCACUACUGGCCCACUCCUCAGACCCUGUGGAGAUGAGGAGACUCAACUA